rnacentral:rRNA from 1 species
CAGCCGCCGCGGUAAUACGUAGGGUGCAAGCGUUAAUCGGAAUUACUGGGCGUAAAGCGUGCGCAGGCGGUUCGGAAAGAAAGAUGUGAAAUCCCAGAGCUUAACUUUGGAACUGCAUUUUUAACUACUGGGCUAGAGUGUGUCAGAGGGAGGUGGAAUUCCGCGUGUAGCAGUGAAAUGCGUAGAUAUGCGGAGGAACACCGAUGGCGAAGGCAGCCUCCUGGGAUAACACUGACGCUCAUGCACGAAAGCGUGGGGAGCAAACAGGAUUAGAUACCCUGGUAGUCCACGCCCUAAACGAUGUCAACUAGCUGUUGGGGCGUUCGGGCCUUGGUAGCGCAGCUAACGCGUGAAGUUGACCGCCUGGGGAGUACGGUCGCAAGAUUAAAACUUAAAGGAAUUGGCGGG